CCGAGUGCGGGCCCUCGCGGCCCAACCUCCCACCCGUGUCUCUCUCUACCUGUUGCUUUGGCGGGCCCACCGGGGCCACCCGGUCGCCGGGGGACGUCCGUCCCCGGGCCCGCGCCCGCCGAAGCGCUCUGUGAACCCUGAUGAAGAUGGGCUGUCUGAGUCGAAUGAAAAUUGUCAAAACUUUCAACAAUGGAUCUCUUGGUUCCGGCAUCGAUGAAGAACGCAGCGAAAUGCGAUAAGUAAUGUGAAUUGCAGAAUUCCGUGAAUCAUCGAAUCUUUGAACGCACAUUGCGCCCCCUGGCAUUCCGGGGGGCAUGCCUGUCCGAGCGUCAUUUCUGCCCUCAAGCCCGGCUUGUGUGUUGGGCGUGGUCCCCCCGGGGACCUGUCCGAAAGGCAGCGGCGACGUCCGUCUGGUCCUCGAGCGUAUGGGGCUUUGUCACUCGCUCGGGACGGAUCGGCGGAGGUUGGUCACCACCACAGUUUUACCACGGU
rnacentral:rRNA from 1 species